rnacentral:sRNA from 1 species
UGGUGUUUGCAAAGGUGCGGGUGGGGAGGCUGGGGAGCGCCAAUCAGGGCGGAGGGAAGUCAUUGCCCCGCCAGGGGCGAUGACCGCACCGACCGGCGAGCCCCAGCCUCCCCAUCCGCACCUUUGCCGCACCCGA